rnacentral:rRNA from 1 species
GGGUUGUGAGGUUAAGCGACUAAGCGUACACGGUGGAUGCCCUGGCAGUCAGAGGCGAUGAAGGACGUGCUAAUCUGCGAUAAGCGUCGGUAAGGUGAUAUGAACCGUUAUAACCGGCGAUUUCCGAAUGGGGAAACCCAGUGUGUUUCGACACACUAUCAUUACGUGAAUACAUAGCGUAAUGAAGCGAACCGGGGGAACUGAAACAUCUAAGUACCCCGAGGAAAAGAAAUCAACCGAGAUUCCCCCAGUAGCGGCGAGCGAACGGGGAGGAGCCCAGAGCCUGAAUCAGCAUGUGUGUUAGUGGAAGCGUCUGGAAAGGCGCGCGAUACAGGGUGACAGCCCCGUACACAAAAGCGCAUAUGCUGUGAGCUCGAUGAGUAGGGCGGGACACGUGGUAUCCUGUCUGAAUAUGGGGGGACCAUCCUCCAAGGCUAAAUACUCCUGACUGACCGAUAGUGAACCAGUACCGUGAGGGAAAGGCGAAAAGAACCCCGGCGAGGGGAGUGAAAAAGAACCUGAAACCGUGUACGUACAAGCAGUGGGAGCCCCACCACUAAGCCAGUGGUGAACUCCACAUACGCAUCCUUUGCUGAGGAUACGGUUAACGGAGCGAAAGCGACGUUCAACCGCAAAAGAAGCAGAGGGGGCUUAGUGGUGGGGUGACUGCGUACCUUUUGUAUAAUGGGUCAGCGACUUAUAUUCUGUAGCAAGGUUAACCGAAUAGGGGAGCCGAAGGGAAACCGAGUCUUAACCGGGCGUUAAGUUGCAGGGUAUAGACCCGAAACCCGGUGAUCUAGCCAUGGGCAGGUUGAAGGUUGGGUAACACUAACUGGAGGACCGAACCGACUAAUGUUGAAAAAUUAGCGGAUGACUUGUGGCUGGGGGUGAAAGGCCAAUCAAACCGGGAGAUAGCUGGUUCUCCCCGAAAGCUAUUUAGGUAGCGCCUCGUGAACUCAUCUCCGGGGGUAGAGCACUGUUUCGGCUAGGGGGUCAUCCCGACUUACCAACCCGAUGCAAACUGCGAAUACCGAAGAAUGUUAUCACGGGAGACACACGGCGGGUGCUAACGUCCGUCGUGAAGAGGGAAACAACCCAGACCGCCAGCUAAGGUCCCAAAGUCACAGUUAAGUGGGAAACGAUGUGGGAAGGCACAGACAGCCAGGAUGUUGGCUUAGAAGCAGCCAUCAUUUAAAGAAAGCGUAAUAGCUCACUGGUCGAGUCGGCCUGCGCGGAAGAUGUAACGGGGCUAAACUGUGCACCGAAGCUGCGGCAGCGACACUCUGUGUUGUUGGGUAGGGGAGCGUUCUGUAAGCCUGCGAAGGUGUCUCGUGAGGGAUGCUGGAGGUAUCAGAAGUGCGAAUGCUGACAUAAGUAACGAUAAUGCGGGUGAAAAACCCGCACGCCGGAAGACCAAGGGUUCCUGUCCAACGUUAAUCGGGGCAGGGUGAGUCGACCCCUAAGGCGAGGCCGAAAGGCGUAGUCGAUGGGAAACAGGUUAAUAUUCCUGUACUUGGUGUUACUGCGAAGGGGGGACGGAGAAGGCUAUGUUGGCCGGGCGACGGUUGUCCCGGUUUAAGCAUGUAGGCGGGUGUUUUAGGUAAAUCCGGAACGCUACUAACGCUGAGGUGUGAUGACGAGGCACUACGGUGCUGAAGUAACAAAUGCCCUGCUUCCAGGAAAAGCCUCUAAGCAUCAGGUAACAUCAAAUCGUACCCCAAACCGACACAGGUGGUCAGGUAGAGAAUACCAAGGCGCUUGAGAGAACUCGGGUGAAGGAACUAGGCAAAAUGGUGCCGUAACUUCGGGAGAAGGCACGCUGAUAUGUAGGUGAAGUGAUUUACUCAUGGAGCUGAA